UAAAAAUGUUACAAGACAGUGAAAAAGAAAACUUAGGGUAACGCUAGGUCAAACCUGAGAGCAUCCACAAACAAGAUGCUUCUGCCAAAGAGGCCCUUUCUUCGGUCUCCAUUUGCCAUAUCUCAGGCCUUAGCAACACCCAGAGGAAAUCUUCCAAAGCUGAGAUCUCAGAAUAGGUAUGAAGUCCCCAGAUCCCAAACCAUGGAAGGAGUUUAAAAGCACAAGGCACUGGAUUCUUCCCGAUACCAUCUUCACAUUCAUUGGUUAUCAGCAUGGAAGUGGGAUUAGCAGGAAGAAGUCCAACUGACUGAUGUAAUGAUGAUGUCAAAAGAGCCCUAACAGGUCUGCAAUUUUGACAGACACACAUUGUGAAGCUGCUUCAUAUGCUGGACUCCCUCCAAAUGGCUUCCUCUGGCAGCAAGUCUCAUAAAAUGUAUCCAGAGAUUUUCUAAUGACAGCUUCUCCAUCCUUUUGCUCAUUCCCCCAAGAUA